GUGGGGAAUUUUGGACAAUGGGCGCAAGCCUGAUCCAGCCAUUCCGCGUGCAGGAUGAAGGCCUUCGGGUUGUAAACUGCUUUUGUACGGAACGAAAAGGUUCUCUCUAAUACAGGGGGCUGAUGACGGUACCGUAAGAAUAAGCACCGGCUAACUACGUGCCAGCAGCCGCGGUAAUACGUAGGGUGCAAGCGUUAAUCGGAAUUACUGGGCGUAAAGCGUGCGCAGGCGGUGAUGUAAGACAGAUGUGAAAUCCCCGGGCUCAACCUGGGAACUGCAUUUGUGACUGCAUUGCUGGAGUGCGGCAGAGGGGGAUGGAAUUCCGCGUGUAGCAGUGAAAUGCGUAGAUAUGCGGAGGAACACCGAUGGCGAAGGCAAUCCCCUGGGCCUGCACUGACGCUCAUGCACGAAAGCGUGGGGAGCAAACAGGAUUAGAUACCCCUGUAGUCC
rnacentral:rRNA from 1 species